AACUCGUGCUCACUCUCACUCUCUCUCUCAAAAAAUGUACUGAACCGAUCCAAUCAGUGAUGGGUUUCUAUUUUGUUCUUAUAAAUGUGGCUGAUCUGUUACAUCGAGUCCCUAUUUCAGCAGCGUCUGAGCCGCACUUAGCCUCACCUCCAAGGGGACGCACCGCACCUUUUCCAGGCAUCGGGAACCUCAAGCUUUGCCACCACACGCAGUCCGUGCAGACAGGAUCUGCACCGCGUCCACCAGGAGCACAGACUACUGCAUACGGAUGCAGUGCGGAACAUUCCUUGUUUCUUUGGCUCAGACAGCUUUGUUGAGCCUGGCAUCCGGGCACGCAUCUGGAGUUCCCAUCUCCUCCCUGGCAAGUCCCUGGAUCUCUGUGUGCGUCCGAGGAGCACGCUUCCUGAACUCCACUCCAUGGAUGCAUGUGUGAAUGUUGAUGGGGUGCUCUCUGGUCAGCACCCCGUUGAUGGCAGAACGGCCCGACUCCUCCUCACCACCUUCUCUGCGGGAGCCAUUCGGCCAGGCCCGGGUUGGAAAGGAGCUGUUCAAGUUACUUUUCUCCUGAAAACUUUCCAUGUUUCCUGGCCUCUGCUUCCAAAUCAUACCUCGUACGCAUCUCCCAGAGCCCUACUUAGAGCUGCCAAUCUGUGGACAUGUCCUAGGUGCUCCCAUAAUAUGGUCACGAUUCCUAUCGCUCUUGUCAUCAAUGUACAAGUGUCUGCUUCCUCCACCGACGUGUGCUACAUGAGAGAUUUCUCGAGCUUAGCACCAUGCCUGGCACUAGCAGAGGCAGAAAUGUGAAGGACAAUGAAGAAAAACGCUAGAGAAUUCAGACAGUGUGUGGCCCAGGCGAUUUCAGCCGAGGUCUGAGAUGACCUACCUGUCAUCCUGGGUGGUACCCACUCUGUGAGUCUAAGUGUGCACAGCUUUCUCUUUUGGUAGAUUUUUCAUACCUUGUACUCUGUCUCUAUCUAG